CCUACGGGAGGCAGCAGUGGGGAAUAUUGCACAAUGGGGGGAACCCUGAUGCAGCAACGCAGCGUGGGUGAAGAAGUACUCCGGUAUGUAAAGCCCUGUCAGCAGGGAAGAAAAUGACGGUACCUGACCAAGAAGACCCGGCUAAUUACGUGCCAGCAGCCGCGGUAAUACGUAGGGGUCAAGCGUUAUCCGGAUUUACUGGGUGGAAAGGGAGCGUAGACGGCAAGGCAAUUCUGGAGUGAAAGCACGUGGCCCAACCACGGGACUGCUUUGGAAACUGUGUUGCUGGAGUGCAGGAGGGGUAAGCGGAAUUCCUAGGGUAGCGGUGAAAUGCGUAGAUAUUAGGAGGAACACCGGUGGCGAAGGCGGCUUACUGGACUGUAACUGACGUUGAGGCUCGAAGGCGUGGGGAGCAAACAGGAUUAGAUACCCCAGUAGUC
rnacentral:rRNA from 1 species